GAUUUCUGGCUUGAAACAUGCUGCCGGCCACGGUUUCGUGUGUUAGUGCAGUUUGUUCUGGCCAUCCUUCCAAUCGCGUCGAUCUGCUCUUCAUUGACUGGACCGGCGUAUUGGAUCUUUUACUUUGAAAAAAUUAGAGUGUUUCAAGCAGGCAUGUUUUGCUAUGAAUACAUUAGCAUGGAAUAAUAAUCUAGGACUUUCGGUUCUAUUUUGUUGGUGUUCUGGAGCUGAAGUAAUGAUUGAUAGGGAUAGUUGGGGGUGCUAGUAUUCAAUGGCCAGAGGUGAAAUUCUCGGAUUCCUUGAAGACUAACUUAUGCGAAAGCAUU
rnacentral:rRNA from 1 species